rnacentral:tRNA from 1 species
AGAGAGUUGUCCGAGUGGUUUAAGGAGCACGCCUGGAAAGUGUGUAUGCGUCUAAAGCGUAUCGAGGGUUCGAAUCCCUCACUCUCUA